AAGUCGUAACAAGGUUUCCGUAGGUGAACCUGCGGAAGGAUCAUUAUCACGUAUCCACGUACUAACUCCUGUGAACCAAACACCCCUUGGGUGCGAGGCGGUGAGGACAUUAUCCUUUUGUAUCGUGAUUUAAGGACGUAGUCUUCAUCUGGCGUCGAAGCCGAGCCUCAAACUCUUGGGCGUAUUUUUUAAACCACGAUAUUUUAACCUUUUUAUUAACAACUUGUACCUUCUGAACUGAGAAUGUUUCUUGUUUUUUGCUCCGCAAGGACAAAAGCUCGAAAUAAGUUACGAAACGCUAAACAACUCUUAGCAACGGAUAUCUCGGUUCUC
rnacentral:misc_RNA from 1 species